GGCAUGGUGGCCAAGUGGUAAGGUGUCAGUCUUAUAAACUGAAGAUCAGGGUUCAACCCCCAUUUGUGCCU